rnacentral:misc_RNA from 1 species
UGGUUCUGGCAUCGAUGAAGAACGCAGCGAAAUGCGAUAAGUAAUGUGAAUUGCAGAAUCCAGUGAAUCAUCGAAUCUUUGAACGCAUAUUGCGCCCUUCGGCAUUCCGAAGGGCAUACCUGUUCGAGCGUCAUUACAACCCUCAGGUGACAUCUGAUGUUGGGUGUUGCGUGGAGCAUGCCCUAAAGCCAACGACGGCGGCGUGCCGACCUCAAGCACACAGCAGUGCGAUGCUGGGAAGAGCGCCGUCGGGACCCCUUCCAAGACGUUGACCUCGGAUCAGGUAGGAAUACCCGCUGA